GCCAGACUCCUACGGGAGGCAGCAGUGAGGAAUAUUGGUCAAUGGGCGGGAGCCUGAACCAGCCAAGUCGCGUGAGGGAUGACGGCCCUAUGGGUUGUAAACCUCUUUUGUCAGGGAGCAACGCCGGCUACGUGUAGCCGGACUGAGAGUACCUGAAGAAAAAGCAUCGGCUAACUCCGUGCCAGCAGCCGCGGUAAUACGGAGGAUGCGAGCGUUAUCCGGAUUUAUUGGGUUUAAAGGGUGCGUAGGCGGGCUUUUAAGUCAGCGGUAAAAAUUCGGGGCUCAACCCCGUCCGGCCGUUGAAACUGGGGGCCUUGAGUGGGCGAGAAGAAGGCGGAAUGCGUGGUGUAGCGGUGAAAUGCAUAGAUAUCGCGCAGAACUCCGAUUGCGAAGGCAGCAUGCCGGCUCCACACUGACGCUGAGGCACGAAAGCGUGGGUAUCGAACAGGAUUAGAUACCCGCGUA
rnacentral:rRNA from 1 species